rnacentral:tRNA from 1 species
UCCCUCAUGGUCCAGUGGUUAAGACUCCAUGCUUUCAAUGCAGCAGAGGCAGGUUCAAAUCCUGGUCAGGGAA